UUAAAGAAAUAGGUAAAUCAAGGAAAAGCUUCUAACUUUAACCUUUAGCAGAAAAACUGUUAAUAUUUCU
rnacentral:tRNA from 1 species